GGCAUGGUAUCAUUUAUCAUUUUUACGUCACAAAGUAAACUUCUUUUAUCAAUUCCCACUCGUAAUAAGGUGGAGCAAUGACGCUAGUCAUAUGGGUAUCCCGAACGUGCUUGAAGAUAUCGGUUAUCGUCAGAUCAAUCGUCAGAAGCUGGGAUUAGUUUUUGAAAAUUUCAAUUAUAUAAUAAUCACGUAGGGAUUUGAAGUUAAAUAUUAGGUACGUAAUAAAAUUUAUAAUUUUGUACUGUAGUUUAAAUGGAUGCUAUACUUUGAUUCGAGAAUUCAAUAAUGCAUCUUGGUCGAAUUUUGUACGAA